rnacentral:rRNA from 1 species
GAUGAACGCUGGCGGCGUGCUUAACACAUGCAAGUCGAACGGGAUCCCAGGAGCUUGCUCCUGGGUGAGAGUGGCGAACGGGUGAGUAAUGCGUGACCGACCUGCCCCAUACACCGGAAUAGCUCCUGGAAACGGGUGGUAAUGCCGGAUGCUCCAGUUGGAUGCAUGUCCUUCUGGGAAAGAUUCAUCGGUAUGGGAUGGGGUCGCGUCCUAUCAGCUUGAUGGCGGGGUAACGGCCCACCAUGGCUUCGACGGGUAGCCGGCCUGAGAGGGCGACCGGCCACAUUGGGACUGAGAUACGGCCCAGACUCCUACGGGAGGCAGCAGUGGGGAAUAUUGCACAAUGGGCGCAAGCCUGAUGCAGCGACGCCGCGUGCGGGAUGACGGCCUUCGGGUUGUAAACCGCUUUUGACUGGGAGCAAGCCCUUCGGGGUGAGUGUACCUUUCGAAUAAGCAC